GGUAUAUGGAGGUUCCCAGGUAAACGAGUUGGGGGUGUAUACAAUAGAGGCCAGUGAGUGGGAAGCAAUGGAGAUUACAGAUUGUUUGCAGGUAUUUCUAGAGACAAGAUCUUGAGUAUGACCAUGAGACUGGGAGGGAGGGUCUGGGAAUGAAAGAUGUGAUCCCUGAAAGAGAGUUCAAGAGAGUGAGAGGAGUAGAUUGAACUUGCCUUUGUUCUGCCUGGAAUGAGAACAUACUGUUGGAUCUGAAACCUACAUCUUGGUUGGACCUUGAGAUGACCUUGGUGAGGGAAUCCAUGUUUGCAAAGCAACCACACAGAAGAAGCCUGAGUGUCUGAGAACUUUGAGGGGCUGACCCUGUUUACCUGCUGACCUAGAUCACUGACCUCUGUACAUCUGGUUCAGCUCCUGCCUGUGCUGUCUGCGACCCACAGCUGAGUCUAAUUGUAAUGAAUAUCCUGUGAGCCUGUUGUUCUCCCUCAUUUUACUUUACCCCCCUAGCUACUUUAAAUGCUAGAGUUAGCUUUUUUAAAAAUCUCUUUCAUCCAUUAAGACCUAGAAUAAGAGCCAAACACUGCACAAAGCAUUACAUGGCUUCCUCAGGCAGAAGGAACCACUUCUUCCACUUGUUUAUGUCUCAAAAUUCUGAUUUUUAAACUUGAAAUUCUGAAUUCAUGGUAUGUGAAGAAGAGCCCUGUGCAAUCUCAAUGCAUGUUUCAGUGUGGCAUUUAGCCCAUGGUAAGCUCUCAAAUAUUGGUUGGACGAAUAGCUGUUUUGACAUCAGCCGGGUAGAAUGAACUCACUGUAGAUCUUUGAUAUAAUAAAGGGCAGCUGAGAGAAAGGCUGGCUCUCACAAGUGUUAGCAGAUCAAAAGGGAAAUGGACUCUGACUUCAGACAUGUCUAUCAGAGAGAUCUCAGAGAGGACUACUUCUAAAGAAUGAAACGCGUCACUGAGGUUUGCUUCAGAAGCGUGACAACUCCAGUCUAGUCCAAAAAAAAAAAAAAAAAAAAAAAAAAAAAAAAAAGCCUGGCUAUGAUGAAAUGCCAGUGCAGAACUUACCAAGGACAGUUCUGCACUUGUAGCUAUUUCUUAGUAGCAUGGUUAGUAUAAAGGCAACCAUAGCAUAGAACUCUCCAUGGGAUAUUAUGAAAAGCCAGCUGUUAAGGGUUAUGUGAGAGAAAGAGUGUUCUAAGACUAGUCAGAGAAGCCAGAGCAGACAACCCUUCAACUGAGAACACCCAACUUAAAAAGAUACAGGGAUCAGAACAAUGGCACCGCAGGAGAUGGACCACAAACCAGAAUUUGCACAUUUUGCCAGAGCAAUGCUAUUUAAAUGCUAUUUCAGCUUAUUGUGCUCUUAAUAAGGCUGUCUAGUUUUGGAUGUGGUCAAUUCGGUGUAUAUAACCACCACUGGGGGAUAUUGUUAAAAAUGGGUUCUGAGUUCUCAUUGGCUGGUGCCCUGCCAGUAGCACCCAGUGACAUGCCUACUGCAUACUCUGCUUCUUGUCCUUGAGAACAGCUUUGAUUUUUGUUUGGAUCUGCAGAACUUUUUUCUAAUCUGAGUGUUCAAUCCUUUUUCUCUUGUCAGCCACAUGCUGGCAGUUCACUGUUCAUUCUAGCUUGUUGUCUGUUUUUUUUUUUUUUUUUUUUUUUUAAUCUCAAAAAAGGAGGUUUUUAUUUAGCUCCUUUGAAUGAGAAGGUCACCUUUUCCUUGGGGUUCAAGCUAAACACAAACUCCACCCACCUUGGUUAAUGCUGACACUGCUUGUGAAUCAUAUUAAUCCAUAUUCUUCUCCCAACCAAGGACAGUAGCUAAAAUUAAGACUUCACAUCAGUUGUAACACAGGAAUGAACAUAUUUCCAUCAGGUAGCAAAAAGAAAACCACCAGUCUAGUGUAAAGUUUCAUAGUUUUAGGCUUUGUAUGUACACUGGGAUUCAGAAGACAUGUCCUCAGAGAAAACCAUGACUCAAAAAGUCAUGUUCAUUGCUGACUAUAUACAAUAGCCAAGACAUGGAAGCAACCUAAAUGUCCAUCCACAGAGGAAUAGAUAAAGAAGAUGUGGUACAUAUAUCACAAUGGAAUAUUACUCAGCCAUAAAAAUGAAUAAAAUAAUGGCAUUUAUAGCAACAUAGAUGGACCUAGAAAUUAUCAUGCUAAGUGAAGUUAGUCAGAUGGUGAGAUACAAACGUCAUAUGCUACUACUUAUACAUAUAAUCUAAAAAAAAUUAUACAGUGAUCUUUGCAGAACAGUUACUGACUCACAAACUUUGAAAAACAUGUGGCUACCAAAGGAGACAGGUUUGGGAGGGGAGGGAUGGGCUGGGAGUUUGUGAUGGAAAUGCUGCAAAACUGAGUUGUGAUGAUUGUUGCAUGACUAUAAACAUAAUAAAAUUCAUUGAGUUAAAAGCCAAAAUAAAAAUCAAAUAAAUUAAAAAAGAAGACACAUCCUUACUUCCAUGUAGGUAAUUACCAAGACUUCUGUUUUCCUAAAAAACUUAAUUUUGUCUCACUUGCUACCCCCUUUCACACUUUAUCAUGUUACUUCAAAAUUGCUUAAUUUUCUCAGUUUGCUGUGUCUACCCUCAUAGGACUUGUCUCAGUAACUGAGGCUGAAUUUCAAAAUGCUUGCAUCAAAUUCAUUUCUCUAAUAUUUAGCAAGUGCCUUCAAUUAGAGAAACAUUAAUUUCUCUAAUAUUUAGCAAGUGCCUUCAGUGCACAGAAUUAUAUUUUGCAUGAGCUGGUUGGGGAAGGAACUUGAGGUUAGGAAAAGACCAUCCUUACCUUUGCCAAGAGCCCUGGUAUAUUGACAUAAAAAGAGAGGCAUGGAAAAUUACUCACAAAACAUAUAACUUUGAUUGUAGCAGUUCAGCAACUGCUGGAAAGGGAGAGGUUAAAUUUGGUGGCCUGGCAUAGUUUGACAGACUGAUCUGGAGCUUCUAAUCACUAAGAGACAGACUAUCAAUGCAAAUUUCCCAUCUUACAGGUUCAGCUUCCAUUGCAUUUUAACAAAACCUGACUUUUCCUUCACUUUAUCAUUUGAUGCUCCAGAAGCUAUUCAGUUGCCAAGAAACAGACCUACAAAUCACUAGCAGGCAUGUUUUAUGAGACUCUCAUAUACCUCAGAGCUGAUGACAUUUUUGUAAAAACAUUCCUGAGUUUUCGAAGGUUUUCAUUUAUAGAAAGCUGUAAUAAAAUUAACGUGAGUUAUUCUUGGAUAUUUAAUAAAUAAAAGACAUGUAAAUCACGAAAAGGAUGCUAAUCAUAGCAGUAUAUUUCCAGAGAUUCAUCAGAAAUGAAACUAUCAGUUGACAUCACUUUCCCCUUACACACACACACACACACACACACACACGCACACACACACACACACACUACUCCCUGGUUGUAGUAGUUUUUUAGGGCCACCAGCACAAAAUGCCGCAGACUGUGAGACGUCAACAAUAGAAGUGUAUUUUCUCACAGUUCUGAAGGUUGGAAGUCAAGAUCAAGGUGUCUCUGGGUUUGGUUUCUCUGUGUGUCCUGAGCGAGCACACACCCAGUAUUUCUUCUGCUUCUUAUAAGGACCUGAGUCGUAUUGGAUUAGGGUCCCACCCUUGUAACACAUUUAACCUUCAUUACAUCUUUGAAGACUCUGUCUCUAAAUAUAGUCACAUUCUGAGAUGCUUGGGGUUAGGGCUUCAACAUAUGAAUUUGAGGGAAACACAAUUCAGUGCAAAACCAUGGUUGUCUGAAUUGACCAGUAAAUCAAUAAAUGCUUCUAGGCAGUUUUAAACAUAAUGUGUAACAUUACAUCAGGUGUAAACCCACACCAAACCCACGCUGAAGGGCAAAGGUAAAUAAAUGACCCCCAUUGAAAUCCACGACCUCUUUCUCUAGCAGCUCUUAAAUGUUUUGCACAAAAGGAGAUUGGGUUCUUUAUUUCUAGAGUAAAAGUUCUUUGUGCCUUAUGGCUGUAAGACCUGCCUAUACAACAUCUAGACUAAUGUUUUUUAUUAGCUUUUUCUAGCCUGGACUUCCUUUCUAAGAGGAGGCGCUAUGAAGAAGAAAAGAGGCAUCUGGCUGAGAAUUAGAACUUGGGGAAUUUAGUGCAUGCUAAAACCACUGGGUGGGAGGUGCCUGGCACUGCUGUGGUGGGGUAAAACAAUGAUGGGCAGGGUUGGGAUGGGGUAGAGGGGGACCACAGGCAGCACUGGGCCUGCGUCUUAAGUCUAGCUGGUCAAGCGACUUUGAUUAAACUAAGUUUCAGUUUCACUGUAUCAUACCAAUAUGAGAAAGGAUAAAUUUCUAGAAAAAUAAUAGCCAAUACCUCAAAGUGAGCUCCUUUUUUCACUUAACCCCAUCUUAAUGCCAGUCUGUAUUUAAUUCUUAUUUUGUGAUCUCCCUUAACUAUAAAUUAAAAGCACUAUUUAUGAGCACUAGGCAGACUGUUGGAUAUACAAAACGAUGACUGUGUGUUUUCCAUUCUCAGCUUGUCUAUUCUAUCGAUGUAAAGAGCAUAUAAAUUGUUUUCUACAUAUUGCUUGCCUUGAACAUUUACAUAUAUUACCUAAAUUAAAUUCACAUAACUCAGUAAUACUGGAGUGUCUACUCCAUGGUAGGCCCUAUGUAAGGAGCCAGGGUUACAAAAACUAUGUUGCUUGAAGAAGAAUUGUUUACUUUGUUCUUAUUCAAAGCACUAGCAUUAUAAAAGAAAAAUUCUACCCUCAUACAUGCUGAGAGAGUUUAUUCUCUAUUUAUACCCUAAUCUACAGUA
rnacentral:lncRNA from 1 species